rnacentral:rRNA from 1 species
GGCGGUAAUACGUAGGGCGCAAGCGUUGUCCGGAAUUAUUGGGCGUAAAGAGCUCGUAGGCGGCUUGUCACGUCGGGUGUGAAAGCCCGGGGCUUAACCCCGGGUCUGCAUUCGAUACGGGCUAGCUAGAGUGUGGUAGGGGAGAUCGGAAUUCCUGGUGUAGCGGUGAAAUGCGCAGAUAUCAGGAGGAACACCGGUGGCGAAGGCGGAUCUCUGGGCCAUUACUGACGCUGAGGAGCGAAAGCGUGGGGAGCGAACAGGAUUAGAUACCCUGGUAGUCCACGCCGUAAACGGUGGGAACUAGGUGUUGGCGACAUUCCACGUCGUCGGUGCCGCAGCUAACGCAUUAAGUUCCCCGCCUGGGGAGUACGGCCGCAAGGCUAAAACUCAAAGGAAUUGACGGGGGCCCGCACAAGCAGCGGAGCAUGUGGCUUAAUUCGACGCAACGCGAAGAACCUUACCAAGGCUUGACAUACACCGGAAAGCAUCAGAGAUGGUGCCCCCCUUGUGGUCGGUGUACAGGUGGUGCAUGGCUGUCGUCAGCU